GCCAUGCGAGUCAUUGUAGCAAUACAAGGCAGACGGCUCAGUAACGCGUAGUCAAUCUACCCUGUUGACGGGGAUAACCUCGGGAAACUGAGAAUAAUACCCGAUAGAACAUUAUGCCUGGAAUGGUUUAUGUUUCAAAUGAUUUAUCGCAAUAGGAUGGGACUGCGGCCUAUCAGUUUGUUGGUGAGGUAAUGGCCCACCAAGACUAUUACAGGUACGGGCUCUGAGAGGAGUGGCCCGGAGAUGGGUACUGAGACACGGACCCAGGCCCUAUGGGGCGCAGCAGGCGAGAAAACUUUGCAAUGUGCGAAAGCACGACAAGGUUAAUCCGAGUGGUUUCUGCUAAAGAAACCUUUUGUCAGUCCUAGAAACACUGAUGAAUAAGGGGUGGGCAAGUUCUGGCGUCAGCCGCCGCGGUAAAACCAGCACCUCAAGUGGUCAGGAUGAUUAUUGGGCCUAAAGCAUCCGUAGCUUGUUUUGUAAGUUUUCGGUUAAAUCCAUACGCUUAACGUAUGGGCUGCCGGGAAUACUGCAUAACUAGGAAGUGGGAGAGGUAGACGGUACUCGGUAGGAAGGGGUAAAAUCCUUUGAUCUAUUGAUGACCACCUGUGGCGAAGGCGGUCUACCAGAACACGUUCGACGGUGAGGGAUGAAAGCUGGGGGAGCAAACCGGAUUAGAUACCCGGGUAGUCCCAGCUGUAAACUAUGCAAACUCAGUGAUGCAUUGGCUUGUGGCCAAUGCAGUGCUGCAGGGAAGCCGUUAAGUUUGCCGCCUGGGAAGUACGUACGCAAGUAUGAAACUUAAAGGAAUUGGCGGGGGAGCACCACAAGGGGUGAAGCCUGCGGUUCAAUUGGAGUCA
rnacentral:rRNA from 1 species